UGAGGAAUAUUGGGCAAUGCCCGCAAGGGUAACCCAGCAACGCCGCGUGGAGGAUGAAUGUCGUAAGAUUGUAGACUCCUGUUAGAGGGGAAGAAUAGUACCGGUUGAACCGGUAUAUGACUGUACCCUCAGAGAAAGCCCCGGCUAACUACGUGCCAGCAGCCGCGGUAAUACGUAGGGGGCAAGCGUUGUCCGGAUUUACUGGGUGUAAAGGGCGCGCAGGCGGGAUAAAAAGUCAGUGGUGAAAUCCUACAGCUUAACUGUAGAACUGCCUUUGAUACUUUUAUUCUUGAGUUCGGGAGAGAGAGACGGAAUUCCAGGUGUAGUGGUGAAAUACGUAGAUAUCUGGAAGAACACCAGUUGCGAAGGCGGUCUCUUGGUCCGACACUGACGCUGAGGCGCGAAAGCGUGGGGAGCAAACA
rnacentral:rRNA from 1 species